rnacentral:rRNA from 1 species
UACGAAGGGGGCUAGCGUUGCUCGGAAUCACUGGGCGUAAAGGGUGCGUAGGCGGGUCUUUAAGUCAGGGGUGAAAUCCUGGAGCUCAACUCCAGAACUGCCUUUGAUACUGAAGAUCUCGAGUGCGGGAGAGGUGAGUGGAAUUCCCAGUGUAGAGGUGAAAUUCGUAGAUAUUGGGAAGAACACCAGUGGCGAAGGCGGCUCACUGGCCCGUAACUGACGCUGAGGUGCGAAAGCGUGGGGAGCAAACAGG